rnacentral:lncRNA from 1 species
UUGUUGUCUCUACAAUGUUAUAUGAUCUCAGAAAAUUUAAGAAAAAGAACCCUAAUCUGCUUCGAUUUGUUUUCUUGGUAAUGGAUAAAGGUAAAGGAGAAGAAGGAGAAGUUAACUGGUUAGAUCUUCCAUUCCAUCUUAUGAGUUUAAUAUUCUUAAAAUAUGGGUAUUUUCUUAUAUAUUUGAUAGGUCAAACCAGAAUAAAUGGCAAUCUACAUAAUAAUAUGAUUGGUGUCAAAUAAGUAUUAUUGGAACACUUCGAUUUCAUAAAAAGAGUGGGGAAAACAUUGGUACGUAGGAUAUCUCCAGUAAUAGACUAUGUUCAAGUUAAUUAUGACUUUCACUAGCAAACACUUUCACUGGUGUACAUUGAAUUAGUGAUUUAGUUGUUGGUGUCUUUUUGCUCUCUGUUAUUUAUUAGUUGUCGUGUCUUAUUGCCGGAGUCUUGUUGGAUGCACUUUUGAGGAAGAAAAGCCAAGUCUCUUGGACAUACUGUAGAUAACAGAUUGACAGCUCCUCUAUUAGGUGUGCAGAUAGAUAACUAUUCUUUCAUGAAAUGGCCAACACAACUUGAUUGGAUGUCGUUUAUUUUCCUAUAUAAAUCUUUUUGAAAUGCUUAAUUCUUUGUAAGAUGAGGAAGUUAGUUAUGUUUUGUUUAAUAAGAUUUCACUCUCUAGAAGUAAGCUGGGCGCUAAUGUCCAUUUCAAAACGGGAGAAAUGCUUUUGUUUUCCAUGGUUCUUGAUGUUCCAUUUAUAAUAGAUAUCGUUUCAUGAUGCCAGUCUUUUACUAGAAUCAAUAUUUGAUGAUUUCGGAUCUAAUAAUGAAUGUCUUUCACUUUGUCAAGAACUACAUAUAUCAUUUCAUUUUCAUUUAUCUUUUGUCGUGAGUAAAGAAUCUAGAUGGAUGCACUUAACAGCUUCAAAGGUAUUGAUUUGUAACAAAGCGAUAAGAGCCAUGCAUUUUUUUUCUGUUUUGGCCUGCCUUUAAAAGCAGUUGUUGCUACAGAGCUUACACAACGCAAAUGUCUUCUAUAGUUCUAUGUCUCUCAUCUUCUCAAAUCUUCUGAAACUGUUUUUAUACCCGAGCUCUUGAAAGUUGGACCACACAUUGACGAUAGAUGUGCUCGUCAGACCAGGAAGUUUAUAGUGUAAUUGUCUAGAAAGUUGUUGCUAAUUAGAUGGAGUUUGCAAAAGAUGGGUGCUGACAUUUGCAUUUCAAUGAAGUGUAGGUAGGUUGUGAGUUGCAGCCUGCAUGAGCGAAUGUUGUUUGUUAGUGAUAAUACUUCUGUCUCUUUUUUUGUCACACUAUCUCAGAUGCACGGCAAAUUGUGUUCAACUAACUAUAUGUCAUCUAUCUUACCUUUCUUGCUUUCUUCAUAUGGAGUAUUACUUUUCAAGUCUGAUUGUUCUGCAUUUUACGUGUUCAUGUCUAUUUCAAAUUCUAAUCACAUCUGUUUAAUACAGUAGUCAGAUUCUUCUAAAAGUGCCUUAUUUAUCUAGCUCCUCGCUUCAGUGAUUUGACUAUUUAUUGUUCUCCUUGCAAUGUUUUGCAGUGCUGAAAAAGCUGUUAAUAUUGCAAAGCAUUAGGAAAAUCCAAAGGUGAGUCCGACAGUAUCGACAGGGUGAUGCCGUGACAGGCAAAUAUGCUGGGUCCCGCCAAACACUGACGGGUAAAGAAUGUGUGUGUGUGUGUGUGUGUGUUUUUUACUUAGUAAUGUUCACAAAGAGUUCACCUAGAAUCAGAUGUCACCGAGUUUGAUUCCAUGUCAAUUGUUCGAUCUGACAUAAUUUGCAAUUCUAAUAGGACCUGCAACAGAAGCAUUUAUAUCAAUGUAUAUUUUUGCAAUAAAUUGUUUGGUAUAUUUCAAUGAUAUAUAGAUUUUCUAAAGUUCAAUGUGUUCAUAUGUAGCGAAUUUUUGUACUGUGAUUGAGACAAGUGAAGAAAUUUAGUGACUGAAUCCGACAUGAUAUAUUUAUACGAAGUAGC